rnacentral:rRNA from 1 species
AACGAACGCUGGCGGCAUGCCUAACACAUGCAAGUCGAACGAGACCUUCGGGUCUAGUGGCGCACGGGUGCGUAACGCGUGGGAACCUGCCCUUAGGUUCGGAAUAACUCCCCGACAGGGGUGCUAAUACCGGAUAAUGUCUUCGGACCAAAGCUUUAUCGCCUUUGGAUGGGCCCGCGUUGGAUUAGCUAGUUGGUAGGGUAAAAGCCUACCAAGGCGACGAUCCAUAGCUGGUCUGAGAGGAUGAUCAGCCACACUGGGACUGAGACACGGCCCAGACUCCUACGGGAGGCAGCAGUGGGGAAUAUUGGACGAGGGGCGAAAGCCUGAUCCAGCAAUGCCGCGUGAGUGAUGAAGGCCUUAGGGUUGUAAAGCUCUUUUACCCGGGAUGAUAAUGACAGUACCGGGAGAAUAAGCGCCGGCUAACUCCGUG